GUUAUACGUGUGUGCACAGCAAAGGAGAAGCAAGGAGGUGACGGUGAAAUUGGUGGAGGUUUAUGGAUUUAGAAUGGGUGUAAUAUAUAACAACAACAACGCAGAAAACAACGGAAAAUAACAUGAUAUUGAAAACACAAAGGCGUUAGGCGUCAAUUGGUAAUACCAAGUGAAGACAGAUCCUUCUCCACCUGGUCCUUCCAUCGGAGUGGAGGUCUCCCUCUUCCUCGGCUUCCACCGGCGGGUACCGCGUCGAAAACUUUCAGAGCUGAGGCACCUUCGUCCAUUCGAACAACAUGACCAAGCCCGCGAAGCCGCUGUCUUUUUAUUCGCUGGGCUAUGCCUAUGUCG